rnacentral:rRNA from 1 species
UCCAGAGGUGGCAAGCGUUGCUCGGAAUUACUGGGCGUAAAGGGUGCGUAGGCGGAUAGUUUAGUCAGAGGUGAAAGCCCAGGGCUCAACCUUGGAACUGCCUUUGAUACUGGCUAUCUUGAGUUCGGGAGAGGUGAGUGGAAUGCCGAGUGUAGAGGUGAAAUUCGUAGAUAUUCGGCGGAACACCAGUGGCGAAGGCGACUCACUGGCCCGAUACUGACGCUGAGACGCGAAAGCGUGGGGAGCAAACAGG